rnacentral:rRNA from 1 species
GACGAACGCUGGCGGCGUGCUUAACACAUGCAAGUCGAACGGAAAGGCCUCUUUCGGGGGGUACUCGAGUGGCGAACGGGUGAGUAACACGUGAGUAACCUGCCCUUGACUUUGGGAUAACUUCAGGAAACUGGGGCUAAUACCGGAUAGGAGCUCCUGCUGCACGGUGGGGGUUGGAAAGUUUCGGCGGUUGGGGAUGGACUCGCGGCUUAUCAGCUUGUUGGUGGGGUAGUGGCUUACCAAGGCUCUGACGGGUAGCCGGCCUGAGAGGGUGACCGGCCACAUUGGGACUGAGAGACGGCCCAGACUCCUACGGGAGGCAGCAGUGGGGAAUAUUGCACAAUGGGUGGAAGCCUGAUGCAGCAACGCCGUGUGCGGGAUGACGGCCUUCGGGUUGUAAACCGCUUUCGCUCAUGACGAAGCUUUGUGUGACGGUAGUGGGUAAAGAAGCACCGGCUAACUACGUG